rnacentral:rRNA from 1 species
GAUGAACGCUGACAGAAUGCUUAACACAUGCAAGUCAACUUGAACUUUGGUUUGGGUGGCGGACGGGUGAGUAACGCGUAAAGAACUUGCCUCACAGCUAGGGACAACAUUUGGAAACGAAUGCUAAUACCUGAUAUUAUGAUUAUAUGGCAUCGUAUAAUUAUGAAAGCUAUAUGCGCUGUGAGAGAGCUUUGCGUCCCAUUAGCUAGUUGGAGAGGUAACAGCUCACCAAGGCGAUGAUGGGUAGCCGGCCUGAGAGGGUGAUCGGCCACAAGGGGACUGAGACACGGCCCUUACUCCUACGGGAGGCAGCAGUGGGGAAUAUUGGACAAUGGACCGAGAGUCUGAUCCAGCAAUUCUGUGUGCACGAUGAAGUUUUUCGGAAUGUAAAGUGCUUUCAGUUGGGAAGAAAAAAAUGACGGUACCAACAGAAGAAGUGACGGCUAAAUACGUG